ensembl:lncRNA
UUGUAAUAUCAUGCAUGGGUCACUUGGAAAAUAUUGAUUCACAGGUGCAAAUCACCCAGAUGUUGACACACUUCAUUACACCAUAUGUUUAAAAAUCACUUUUGUAAUAUCAGCAUUGAUCUCAUCAGAAAAGACUCCAAGUCUUGGCACGCCACUGUCAAGCUCCCAAGGAGCUUGUGGGGACCUCACUUGAAGAACUGCUGAUUUAGGAAUUGUUAGUUAACUGCUGACUGAGGUCUGCCUUAAGGCUACUUCCCUCUCUGGGAUUGUGGGAGUCGUGUGUAUAUCCUUAACAUCUGUUGCUAUGCCUGGUGAAUAGCAAGUGGUCAAAAUACACCUGGAUUGCAUAAUGUUCUGGCUGAGCGCUGAAGAACUGAUGCUUUUGAACUGUGGUGUUGGAGAAGACUCUUGAGAGUCCCUUGGACUGCAAGGAGAUCCAACCAGUCCAUUCUAGAGGAGAUCAGCCCUGGGUGUUCUUUGGAAGGAAUGAUGCUAAAGCUGAAACUCCAGUACUUUGGCCACCUCUUGCGAAGAGUUGACUCAUUGGAAAAGACUCUGAUGCUGGGAGGGAUUGGGGGCAGGAGGAGAAGGGGACGACAGAGGAUGAGAUGGCUGGAUGGCAUCACUGACUCGAUGGACGUGAGUCUGAGUGAAUUCUGGGAGUUGGUGAUGGACAGGGAGGCCUGGUGUGCUGUGAUUCUGGGGUUGCAAAGAGUCGGACACGAUUGAGUGACUGAACUGAACUGAAUGUUCUACUGUAUGUAUAUACCGCAUUUUGUUUAUUCAUUUGUUGAUGGACAUUUGGGUUGCUUCUACCUCUUGGCAAUAGUGAAUAGUGUUGCUGUGAACGUGGGUCUGCAAAUAUCUCUUCAGAACCCAGCUUUCAGUUCUUUGGGAUAUAUACCCAGAAGUAAAAUUGCUGCGUCACGUGGUAGUUCUAGUUUUAACUUUCUGAGGAACCUCCAUAAUGUUUCCAUAGCAAUUGCACCAUCUUUCAAUCUCCCCAAUAGUGUAAUAUGUUCAUUUUUCUUCUCAUCUUUGCCGACAUUUCUUUUUCUUUUUUUUCCCUCCUUUUUCCUUCUUCCUGCCUGCCUAUCUGCCAUCCUAAUCAGCAUGAGGUGAAAUAUCAUUGCAGAUUUGAUUUGCAUUUUCUGUACUGUUAGUGAAGUUAAUCAUCCUUUUAUAUUCCUGCUGGCUAUUGUAU